ensembl:lncRNA
CAGGUAGGGGUUAGCCAGUAUAGAGACAGGUCAUUAAGGAGCAGGUAGGGGUUAGCCAGUAUAGAGACAGGUCAUUAAGGAGCAGGUAGGGGUUAGACAGUACAGAGACAGGUCAUUAAGGAGCAGGUAGGGGUUAGACAGUAGAGACAGGUCAUUAAGGAGCAGGUAGGGGUUAGACAGUACAGAGACAGGUCAUUAAGGAGCAGGUAGUGGUUAGACAGUGAGGUGGGCAGGAUGUCAACCAACCACUCUGGCACCUUGGUGUCAGAGAGUGAAAGUCAUAGCGAACAGGAAGCUCGUUCCACGGGCCACUUCAAACAGGAAGUGGGCUGCUUCCUGCUCCUCUCCCCAAGGCAUCGACGAUUUCCUGCCAAUCAGAGAGUGACGAGGGGGGCCUGGUGGGUUUUACGUGGCUUGGUUGGGUCUCAGCGGCCCUGGGAUGGGCUUUGAGGGGAUUCGCCA